rnacentral:rRNA from 1 species
GACGAACCGUGCGAACGUUGUUCGGAAUCACUGGGCUUAAAGGGCGCGUAGGCGGCUUGCCAAGUCGGUGGUGAAAUCCUGCAGCUUAACUGUAGAAGUGCCUCCGAUACUGGCUAGCUCGAGGGAGGUAGGGGUCUGUGGAACUUCUGGUGGAGCGGUGAAAUGCGUUGAUAUCAGAAGGAACGCCGGUGGCGAAAGCGACGGACUGGACCUCUUCUGACGCUGAGGCGCGAAAGCUAGGGGAGCAAACGGG